rnacentral:tRNA from 1 species
GGCCGGUUGGUCAAGCGGUUAAGACACCGCCCUUUCACGGCGGUAUCCGGGGGUUCGAUUCCCCCACCGGUCACCA